UACGGAGGGUGCGAGCGUUGUCCGGAAUCACUGGGCGUAAAGGGCGCGUAGGCGGCUCAUGAAGGCUGUGGUGAAAGUCCGGGGCUCAACCUCGGAUCGGCCGUGGCGACUCGUGGGCUGGAGCACUGUAGAGGCGGGUGGAAUUCCGGGUGUAGCGGUGGAAUGCGUAGAGAUCCGGAAGAACACCGGUGGCGAAGGCGGCAUUCUGGACCGAUAUUGACGCUGAGGAGCGAAAGCCAGGGGAGCAAACGGG
rnacentral:rRNA from 1 species